CAGUAGCCACGGGAAAACGUAGGGUCCGAGCGUUGUCCGGAAUUACUGGGCGUAAAGAGCUCGUAGGUGGUUUGUCGCGUUGUUCGUGAAAACUCACAGCUUAACUGUGGGCGUGCGGGCGAUACGGGCAGACUAGAGUACUGCAGGGGAGACUGGAAUUCCUGGUGUAGCGGUGGAAUGCGCAGAUAUCAGGAGGAACACCGGUGGCGAAGGCGGGUCUCUGGGCAGUAACUGACGCUGAGGAGCGAAAGCGUGGGGAGCGAACAGGAUUAGAUACCCCCGUAGUCCCUGUCUCUUAUAC
rnacentral:rRNA from 1 species